rnacentral:tRNA from 1 species
GGGGAUGUAGCUCAUUUGGUUAGAGCGCUUGCAUGGCAUGCAAGAGUUACGGGGUUCGACUCCCCGCAUCUCCACCA